UAUGUAGUGACGGGCUUCGCAGAAGGGGCUUCGUCCCAUCGCCAUCUUUGCGGUGGGUUCUGCUGAAGCUGAACGGUCCUGCAUAUUGUUUAUUUUUUUAAGCCCUGGGCUUUUCAAGCUGAACUUCCUCACUACCAUUAUACUGAAAAAGAGCCCUUGAAAGUUUUGCUCCAUCUUGCAUAUUCUUUUGGAAGUAAAUUGAUUGGACCCUGGUGCCUUAUUUAGUUUGUUUGGUGAGGCCAUGUUUUCCUGGAUGGUCUUGAUUUUUGUGGAUGUUUGUCAGUUUCUGGGCAUUGAACAGGGAAUUGAACAGCUUGGACUUGGAGACUGAGUUAAAACAGAAAUAAGAAGGCGGCAAAAAAAGACUAUACCAGAUUGAAAUGUGUUGGAUAUUCAUAUCACCCAGCACCUCAGAAUGUGGCCAUGGAGGAUGGAGGCAGAGAUUGAAGUGACGCAUCUUCAAGCCUAGGAACACUAAGGAUUGCUGGUAGUCACCAGAAGCUGGAAGAGGCAAGAAAUAUAUCCUUUCCAAGAGCUUUCAGAGAGAGCGCCAUUCUGCCAACACCUUGAUUAUAUGCUUCAAGCUUCUAGAAUUGUGAGAUAAUAAAUUUUGUUGUUAUAA